CGGCUCUUAUGAAUUAGAGGAAUUUGUGGUAUAGUCGAUAAACCACGAUAAUUUUCACUUUAUCUUAAAUUUAUAUACCGCCAUCAUAUAAGAAUUAAUAUAAACCUUUCUCUUAAAAAUAAAUAACAUGUUAGGUCAAGGUGUAAUAAACAUAAAGAACGAAUGAAUUACAUUAAAUGAUAUUUAUGGAUUUUUCUUUUAAUAUUAAAAUGAAAAAGGAUUUAUAAGUAAUAUAAAAAUAAUAAUUUUAAAUGAAAAGUAAUAAUAGUGC
rnacentral:rRNA from 1 species